UGGCUCAGUUGGUAGAGUGUUUGCCUAACACGCAUGAGGCUCUGGGUUCAAACCCCAG
rnacentral:tRNA from 1 species